GACAGUGCCUCAAACGCAGCGACGCUUACUCAUGCAUCCGAACAUAUCUCAGUGCAAGUUCAUUGGAAAAUGCCAAAAGGUUUAAAGCUGAAGUUGUUGCAAAUAGCCAAACUCCACUUGUCCUUACAAUGGAGGACGCUGAAGAGAUUGAAGAUAAAUUCCAAGGGGUAAAAGUUUGGUGGUUUUCUCAUAACAACUCUAAAAAUGAUUCAGAUGCUAAACUAUAUUUAACACUAACUUUCCAUAAAAAUUACCGUGAACUCAUCACUACCUCUUACAUCAAACAUGUGUUGGAAGAAGGAAAAGCUCUUAAAUUGAAGAACAGGAAGCUUAAGCUUUACACAAACAAUCCUAGCAAUGAUUGGUGGAGACCAAGCAGCAGAAAGUGGAGCCAAACAACUUUUGAACACCCUGCAACAUUUGAAACACUUGCUAUGGAUCAAGAGAAGAAAGAAGAGAUUAUAGAUGAUCUUAUUAAGUUCAAAUCAGGAAAAGAUUACUAUGCUAAAGUUGGAAAGGCUUGGAAACGUGGUUAUCUACUUUACGGACCGCCCGGAACUGGAAAAUCUACUAUGAUAUCUGCUAUUGCUAAUUUUAUGAACUAUGAUGUUUAUGAUCUUGAGCUAACAACUAUCAAGGAUAACAAUGAGUUGAAAAGACUUUUGAUUGCGACCUCGAGCCAAUCCAUUAUUGUAAUUGAGGACAUUGAUUGUUCUAUUGAUCUCACUGGCAAAAGGACAAAAGAUGAGAAGAAAGACAAAGAUGGUAAUGGUAAAGAAAGUAAUGUAACUCUUUCUGGUUUGUUGAAUUUUAUUGAUGGAAUUUGGUCUGCAUGUGGAAGUGAGAGGAUCAUAAUUUUCACAACAAAUUUUGUGGACAAACUUGAUCCUGCUCUUAUUAGGAGGGGAAGGAUGGAUAAGCAUAUUGAAAUGUCUUAUUGUAGCUAUCAAGCUUUCAAGGUUCUUGCAAAGAACUAUUGGGAUAAUGAUUCUGAUCAUGUUUUGUUUCCAAUUAUUGAAAAAUUAUUGGGAGAGGUCAAUAUGUCUCCUGCUGAUGUUGCUGAGAAUUUGAUGCCAAAGUCAAUUUCUGAUCAUUUUGGGACUCGCUUGAAGAAUCUAAUUAAAUCUCUUGAGAGAGCAAAGAAAAAAACAGAAAAGAGAGAUAAGGAAGCUGAGAUGGAACAAUGCCUCGAGGGUAAGAAGAAUAUGUGAAAUCUAAUGAAAAAAUAUGGGUGGAAGUCAAGGAGAAUGGCCUCAUCCAUUAAUUUAGAUUAGUAAUAUAAUAUUAUUUUAAUGUUUUGAAACUUCUUAAUAACAAUAGUUUAUUUUUAUUAUUAUUCAUAUAUAUGUACUUUUUUCUAACUGGUUUUGAAUGGAAGAUUAAUGGGCUAUGCUUAGAUUUUGUGCAGGAUGAGAGAAUUUAGUUUUAAAAGUUUAUAAGUUCUAGUAUAUUAUACUAUAAUUAAUAUUUGUCAUACUAAUUUUCAUAAAGUUAUGAUUGAUUUACAUUUGACAUGAAAAUUAAAUACAUAGAUUGUUAUAAGAAUAAGAUAAGUGUAAGACAAUAUCAUCAUUGUCAUAAUUAUCAUUAACAUUAAAUCAUGGAAUCAUCAAUUUAGAUGGCAUGAAUGAUUUAAGAGAAUUUUAAAACAAUAUUUCAUCAUCAGUCACAGAAAUCAUCAACAUUUAAAGAAAAACAGAAUCAUCAAUAUAACUUACAUUGUACACAUGGCAAAUUGUUUAAAUAUAGAAUCAUUUUUUAACAGCAAAAUAGAACAACAACCCAACCCUAUAUUCUCUAAGAAAUUGAACAUUUCAAAGUAAGGAAUGAAGAAAACAAGGUCACCACUAGUCUCAAAGAUACUAGCCCAAAAUUUUUUGUAUGGCAUGUUUGAGAAAUUUUUCCCAUUUCAGCUUCAUAGGUUUGUUCAAAAAUACGCUCUAAAAAUCAGAGUUCAUUUACCCUUACGUUCAUAUAACUUUAAAAUCUACCAUGAUAUCCGCUAUUGUUAAUUUCAUGAACUAUGAUAUUUAUGAUCUUGAGUUACAACUAUCAAGGAUAAUAACCGAGUUGAAAAGACUUUUGAUUGAGACAUCAAGCAAAUCAAUUAUAGUGAUUGAGGACAUUGAUUGUUCUAUUGAUCUUACUGAAAAAUGGAAGAAGAAAAGACAUGUUUACGACUCUAAAUGAUAAGAAGCAAAAGAUGGUAACUAUUUCUGGUUUGUUGAGUUUUAUUAAUGGGAUUUGGUAAGCAUGUGGAGGCAAGAGAAUCAUAAUUUUCACAACCAAUUUUGUGGACAAACUUGAUCUUGCUCUUAUUAGGAAGGGGAGGAUGGAUAAGCAUAUAGAAAUGUCCUAUUGUAGAUAUCAUGCUUUCAAGGUGCUUGCAAAAAACUAUGUGGAUAUUGAUUCUAAUGAUGAUUUAUUUCCAAUUAUUGAAAAGUUGUCUCGGGAGAGGUUAAUAUGACACCUUCUGAUGUUGCUGAGUCUCUGAUGCCAAAGUCCAACACAGAAGAUUUUGAGACUUGCUUGAAGAAUCUAAUUCAAUCUCUUGAGAGUGUAAAGAAAAAGGAAGAGGAGGAGGCAAAGAAAAAGGAAGUUCAGCUGAAGGCAGUGAAGGCUAAUGAAAAUCUGCAGAAGAAGUGAAGGACAAUGGUGCCAUCUAUCAGUUUGGAUAUGGUUAAUUUCGGAACUAUAUGUAACACUUUAGAGUAUUUUUUUUUAAUAAAAUAAACUUUUUGUAUAAUGCUAUUCCUAAGUUGCUUUCUCACUACUAGAAAGAAAUCUGUUUUAUCGAAUUGGUGUUAACCGAGUUGUAAACAACUCAAGUUUUUCAAACAAAUUGGUGUUCCUAAGUAUAUUUUUUAUAACUAUGCUACAGGUAUGAAGUAUCCACCACUGGUUUAGCAGUGUCUAUCUCUAUCGGGAAAUAUGUUAAGCACAGUAGUAUUGUCAAAGCUGGAAGUUUGCAAAAUAAGAGUACGAGUGUCAAUGAACAAUCAUAAGACAAAAGCCCUAGCAAGAGGACGGAAGAAAGGCGGAACCAAAAGGAGAUAAGGCUUCUCAAAACAAUUAGGAAGGAUCAAAAUAAAGUUCAAUGGAUUGAAUAAGGUAAAUAAAGUGUUAAUGACAGACAAAAAUCAUUUGCUUAAGGUCUAAUGUCAUAUCAUAAUGUGAAGUGACAACUAGUCCAAAAGAGAAAUCCAUUUGUAUACCGCCAUUGGAAUUGAAAUUCCUAUGACAAAGGAUUUUUAGCCUUGGGCGUGCCGAACUCACUUAUCAGUCCUUGCAGUUCAAACAAGUUUUGGUCAAGUUGAUUGCCAAACUCAUUCACAAUCUAUUUAAUUUUUUUACUAGCAAUUAGAGGAAACAAGCAACACCUUUAUUAGAAUUCAAAAUAACUCUCCUGUAGUUUUAGUAAAUCUAGUGAUAAUUGUGAAAGCAACAAAAAUUGCAAGCAUAAUUAACAAGAAUGAUGUCCAAACACAAACCUUGCAACACUGAUAUAUGAACAUGAAAGUUAGAUAUGUACUUGUUAUUUAGGAAAUGUAAACAACUUCAAAAACAGAUGUCAAAAUAGCGUACUAACCAGCCCAGCCAAAGUUUCUACUAUGCUCAAGCUUCCAUCUGUUUUCCCACUAAGUUGCUCUCCAAAUGCAAUAACAGGAAGAGCAUAAACAAAUAAUAUGUAGAAUGUUGGAGCCAAGAUGUUGUCAUUAAAAUUAAUCAAAUAAAAUAUAUAUAUAUGAAUCAAUGACCUUCAGUGACACAAAACUAAGUUUAGAAAGUUGAAAAUAUAAGGAAAAUGUUAUGCAACUCAACCAAAAACAGAACAAUUAGAAGCACAAUAGAAACUAAAAUGUUUGAAUAUAGGGAGAAAGGAGUAAUGAAGUUAUGUGGCACUAGUUUAAGCAAAUAAAAAUCAAAGGCAUUUAUGAAUUUCAUUAAUUUUCAAUACCAGGGUCAUCACCAAUUGAGUCAGUAUGCCUUCAAAUCACAAAUCCUACAUAAGCAAAGUUAGCAUUCAAAUUGUGUUUUAAAUCGAAUACCAAAGGAUAAACAACUUAUGCUUAAAAUGUAUACAAAAAUCAAAACAUCCUACCUCAAGAAUGUCUCUGCAAAUUAAACAUCCUACCUUAAAAUCAGAAACAAAACAAGAAAACAUUAAGAUAUCCAAGCAUUUCACAAGUUAUAAAAAAGAAAAAUAAGAUAAAAAAUAUAGAGAUAGAAAAUUAUAAAAUUAUAUAUAAAAAAUAAGACAAAAACCCUAGUUUUACCAAUCUACAAGACUCACAUCUCAGGAUUCAUUGUGAAGAAUGUAAUUAACUUAAGCAAAUAAUCAUCCUCUUGUUUUAACCAACCCCUAAAACUUUAGAUAACUCUAAAUUUAAUUAUCUUUGGAACAAGCUUUUGAAAAUCAACUCCCCCGCCCCCAAAAUAUAACCCGCUACUUUGGAAGAUUUUUCAGAACUCUCUCCCUACAAGAGACAAUCUGAAAAAUAGAGGAAUCUGAAAUCAAAUUCUCUCCCUCAGCAAUUGUGGUACCAAAAUAAAAUAAAAACUAACAAUGAGUAAAAGAAAAUCAAAUGUUAGUAUCGAAACCAAACCCUAAACCAAAAAUGAACACAAACGAGAAAGAUGGUUGAUGUAACACUUACAUUGAGAAUGGACGAGCCUGAGAGACGAAAGUGAGAGUGAGAGACGAGAGUGAGUUUGAGAGAUGAGUGGACGAGAGUGAGAGUGAGGCUGAGAGACCAUAGUAAGGGUGAGGCCGCAAGAGUGAGUGCGAGGCGAGGAAAACGGCUCCACGGCGGCGAGAGGGUGAGAAUGACAGUGAGACGAUUAGGCGGUGAGAGAUGGAGAGGGUCGACGGCGAGGGCUAAGCAAAAAUUAAUGAAGUGUGGGAUAUGAAAAAGGGGUGGCCAAGGGAUAGGGGUGGAAAUAGGUCACACCAGACUUGGAAAGGUAUGAGUCUGACCUGCGAUUUAUUUUUUUAGACAUAAGCUUGGCCUACGGCCUAUUUUUUUUUCGGCAGAACCUUU
rnacentral:lncRNA from 1 species